rnacentral:rRNA from 1 species
GUAGGGAAUCUUCCACAAUGGACGAAAGUCUGAUGGAGCAACGCCGCGUGAGUGAAGAAGGUCUUCGGAUCGUAAAACUCUGUUGUUAGAGAAGAACGUGCAUGAUAGUAACUGAUCAUGUAAUGACGGUAUCUAACCAGAAAGCCACGGCUAACUACGUGCCAGCAGCCGCGGUAAUACGUAGGUGGCAAGCGUUGUCCGGAUUUAUUGGGCGUAAAGGGAACGCAGGCGGUUUUUUAAGUCUGAUGUGAAAGCCUUCGGCUUAACCGAAGAAUAGCAUUGGAAACUGGAAGACUUGAGUGCAGAAGAGGAGAGUGGAAUUCCAUGUGUAGCGGUGAAAUGCGUAGAUAUAUGGAGGAACACCAGUGGCGAAAGCGGCUCUCUGGUCUGUAACUGACACUGAGGCACGAAAGCGUGGGGAGCAAACAGGAUUAGAAACCCGGGUAGUCC